rnacentral:ncRNA from 1 species
GCGCGAGCCGCGGCGCUGUCUCCCGCUCCCCCCCCACACACACACAUAUAUAUAUAUAUAUAUAUAUAUAUAUAUAUAUAUAGAGAGAGAGAGAGAGAGAGAGAGAGAGAGAUUGAUUUUAUAUUCAGUACGAGCCGGUCAUGGUAACCAACAACCUAAACAUUUUUUCACUUAAAGCCGGUUACAAAAAAGUAAUAAGACAGUGAAAAAGUACCAAAAGACUCGAAGACCGUGGGAAGGUCUUCACGCUACGUUGAUGACGAUGAUUGCUCCAUACCGGGUGAGGAAUAAGCAUCGGUUACUCUGUGCCAACAGCCACGGUAAGACAGAGAAUGCGAGCGUUAUCUGGAAUGAUUGUGCGUAAAAUGUCUGUAGGUGGCUUUUCAAGUCCGCCGUCAAAUCCUAGGGCUCAACCCCGGACAGGCGGUGGAAACUACCAAGCUGGAGUACGGUAGUGGCAGAUGGAAUUUUUUGUGAGGCCUGAUUUCCACAUUGUAUAAUGUUAGCUAAGACUGACUCAUAUUUUCUUUGAAUUUUGACCCCACCUUGCUUCUACAUUGGACUUGCACUGGUGUACUUUACCAGAUAUGUGCUCCUAGCUUAUAGAAAAUGCAACCUUGUACAUGCCUUCAACCUCUAUAUUGUGUUGAUUUUUUUU